rnacentral:rRNA from 1 species
CUAUACGGAGUUACAAAGGAACGAGGUAGACGAAGCGACCUGGAAAGGUCCGUCGUAGAGGGUAACAACCCCGUAGUCGAAACUUCGUUCUCUCUUGAAUGUAUCCUGAGUACGGCGGAACACGUGAAAUUCCGUCGGAAUCUGGGAGGACCAUCUCCCAAGGCUAAAUACUCCCUAGUGAUCGAUAGUGAACCAGUACCGUGAGGGAAAGGUGAAAAGCACCCCGGAAGGGGAGUGAAAGAGAUCCUGAAACCGUGUGCCUACAAAUAGUCAGAGCCCGUUAACGGGUGAUGGCGUGCCUUUUGUAGAAUGAACCGGCGAGUUACGAUCCCGUGCGAGGUUAAGCUGAAGAGGCGGAGCCGCAGCGAAAGCGAGUCUGAAUAGGGCGUUUAGUACGUGGUCGUAGACCCGAAACCAGGUGAUCUACCCAUGUCCAGGGUGAAGUUCAGGUAACACUGAAUGGAGGCCCGAACCCACGCACGUUGAAAAGUGCGGGGAUGAGGUGUGGGUAGCGGAGAAAUUCCAAUCGAACCUGGAGAUAGCUGGUUCUCCCCGAAAUAGCUUUAGGGCUAGCCUUAAGUGUAAGAGUCUUGGAGGUAGAGCACUGAUUGGACUAGGGGUCCUCAUCGGAUUACCGAAUUCAGUCAAACUCCGAAUGCCAAUGACUUAUCCUUAGGAGUCAGACUGCGAGUGAUAAGAUCCGUAGUCAAAAGGGAAACAGCCCAGACCGCCAGCUAAGGUCCCAAAGUGUGUAUUAAGUGGAAAAGGAUGUGGAGUUGCUUAGACAACUAGGAUGUUGGCUUAGAAGCAGCCACCAUUUAAAGAGUGCGUAAUAGCUCACUAGUCGAGUGACUCUGCGCCGAAAAUGUACCGGGGCUAAAUACACCACCGAAGCUGCGGAUUGAUACCGAAUGGUAUCAGUGGUAGGGGAGCGUUCUAAGGACAGUGAAGUCAGACCGGAAGGACUGGUGGAGUGCUUAGAAGUGAGAAUGCCGGUAUGAGUAGCGAAAGACGGGUGAGAAUCCCGUCCACCGAAUGCCUAAGGUUUCCUGAGGAAGGCUCGUCCGCUCAGGGUUAGUCAGGACCUAAGCCGAGGCCGACAGGCGUAGGCGAUGGACAACAGGUUGAUAUUCCUGUACCACCUCUUUAUCGUUUGAGCAAUGGAGGGACGCAGAAGGAUAGAAGAAGCGUGCGAUUGGUUGUGCACGUCCAAGCAGUUAGGCUGA